CUUGACUGUUUUAGCAAAGACAUUGUCUUGUGUAAAGUUAUAAGAUAAUUUCUGCCCACUGCUGUAUGGUGAAGGGCUGCAGUAUUAUGACUGUAUAAAGGUAGCAUAAUCAUUAGCUUCUUAAUUAGGGGCUGGUAUGAAGGGGAAACAGGGAGGUGAUGUGUUCUUCAAGGGGAUUGAAUUUAAUGGUUCUGUGAAAAAGCAGGAGUAUGUCUAAGGGACAAGAAGACCCUAUUAAGUUUAAUUUUUGAUUAUAAAAAGGAUAAAGGAAAUAAAUUAAUUAUUAAUUUGAUUUAUAUUUAGAGAUUUGGCUGGGGCGGUAGAUUGAGUAAAACAAUAUAAAGAUUUAACUUUUAUUAGAAAGAUGAAAUAAAAGAUCUGAUUAGGUCAAUUAAAAGAAAAAUUACUUUAGGGAUAACAGCGUUAUCAUUCUUUAGAGUUCGAAUCAACAGAGUGGUUUGCGACCUCGAUGCGGGCUUCGCUUAAACCAAAACACAGUAUUUGGUUCAACCUCGUCUGA
rnacentral:rRNA from 1 species